rnacentral:rRNA from 1 species
GAUGAACGCUGGCGGCGUGCCUAAUACAUGCAAGUCGAACGAAACUUCUUUAUCACUGAGUGCUUGCACUCACCGAUAAAGAGUUGAGUGGCGAACGGGUGAGUAACACGUGGGCAACCUGCCCAAAAGAGGGGGAUAACACUUGGAAACAGGUGCUAAUACCGCAUAACCAUAGUUACCGCAUGGUAACUAUGUAAAAGGUGGCUAUACUACCGCUUUUGGAUGGGCCCGCGGCGCAUUAGCUAGUUGGUAGGGUAAAGGCUUGCCAAGGCAAUGAUGCGUAGCCGAAUUGAGAGGUUGAUCGGCCACAUUGGGACUGAGACACGGCCCAAACUCCUACGGGAGGCAGCAGUAGGGAAUCUUCCACAAUGGGCGAAAGCCUGAUGGAGCAACGCCGCGUGGGUGAAGAAGGUCUUCGGAUCGUAAAACCCUGUUGUUAGAGAAGAAAGUGCGUGAGAGUAACUGUUCACGUUUCGACGGUAUCUAACCGGAAAGCCACGGCUAACUACGUG